CCUUCUGACACACUCACCUGAGUGAAAGCCC
rnacentral:piRNA from 1 species